rnacentral:tRNA from 1 species
GUUCCGAUAGCUCAGCUGGGAGAGUGCCGCCUCGACACGGCGGAGGUCGCCGGUUCGAACCCGGCUCGGAGCA